CAACGAUGUUUUAAUGGCUGAAAAAAAAAUAGUUGCUGCUCACAUUCCACAAACUUAAUGUCUAAACAGUAGUUGGAUCUUGGUAUGUCAAAGUAUUAUGUCAGGCGUUUCCCCCUUGUAUAUUAGCUGUUCUCUUGAUUUUACAAAAGGUCGAGGGACUUUCUCAAUCCUUCCACAACACUAGAAUCCUGCAAACACGCUCUGCAGAUAAACAGCCAACCCGAAGAUUCCAGGGGGUCAGCAUUUACAUCCACCGAGAUCCUACCGAGGAUCAUCGUAAUGACCUCCAUUCUUUGCAUCACCAUUGCUGUUCCUGUCAUUGUUGAGAUUUUGGCUGUCUCUAUUACCAGAUUCUGUCUGUUCUCUCUCCCGGUUCCACUGCUCAAUCUUAGCCCUUCUUUCAACACUGCUCUCUCUAACAGGAGGACUUCUAUUCCUCCUUCCAGCAGGACUUCUGCUUCGCCCUCCUCUGCGUCCAGGACUUCGGCUUCUAUGCCUCCUGCCCCUCUCAUGUUGAUGAUCCCGAUCAUCAUCUCGUCUACCAGAAUUGCGGCUAUUGUGAGAGCGUUCUUCAUAACCACGGUGCCUGCUAGGGCUAUGGCUUCUACUGCGGCUACGU
rnacentral:misc_RNA from 1 species